AAGCGUUAAGCGCUCCACCUGGGGAGUACGCCGGCAACGGUGAAACUCAAAGGAAUUGACGGGGGCCCGCACAAGCGGAGGAACAUGUGGUUUAAUUCGAUGAUACGCGAGGAACCUUACCCGGGCUCAAACGUUGCAGGAAGGGUGUCUGAAAGGAUGCCCGUCUACGGACCUGCGACGAGGUGCUGCAUGGUUGUCGUCAGCUCGCGCCGUGAGGUGUCGGCUUAAGUGCCAUAACGAGCGCAACCCCUACCGCCAGUUGCCAACAGGCAAAGCUGGGGACUCUGGCGGGACUGCCGGCGCAAACUGCGAGGAAGGCGGGGAUGACGUCAAAUCAGCACGGCCCUUACGUCCGGGGCGACACACGUGUUACAAUGGCAGGUACAGCGGGAAGCCACCUGGCGACAGGGAGCGGAACCCGAAAGCCUGUCUCAGUUCGGAUUGGAGUCUGCAACCCGACUCCAUGAAGCUGGAUUCGCUAGUAAUCGCGCAUCAGCCACGGCGCGGUGAAUA
rnacentral:rRNA from 1 species